UACGUAGGGUGCGAGCGUUGUCCGGAAUUAUUGGGCGUAAAGAGCUUGUAGGCGGUUUGUCGCGUCUGCUGUGAAAUCUCAAGGCUCAACCUUGAGCUUGCAGUGGGUACGGGCAGACUAGAGUGUGGUAGGGGAGACUGGAAUUCCUGGUGUAGCGGUGAAAUGCGCAGAUAUCAGGAGGAACACCGGUGGCGAAGGCGGAUCUCUGGGCCUUGCCUGACGCUGAGGCGCGAAAGCUAGGGGAGCGAACAGG
rnacentral:rRNA from 1 species